CUAUUGUUUACCUACUUGCUGAAAGGAUAAUGUUUUGAGUUUUGAAAUUUAAGCAAACACAGAAUAUAAUAAUAGUUUUACCGUCACAUUAUUGGUUAAUACCGACUAAAUUAAAUAAAUAAAUAACGGGUAAAAUUGAAAUAAAAUAAAGAGACUAUAAUACUUUGCACCAUGAGUGGGUCACUGUUGUAUGUGAGAAGUUAGGAAGGUAGCAUAUGGAGGAAAAUU